AUGCUCACACAUACACACUCACACACACACACACACUCACUCACAGACUCACACAGACACACUCACACUCACAGACACACACAAACUCACUCAGACACACACACUCACUCACAGACACACUCACAUGCUCACACAAACACUCACUCAGACUCUCACACAGACACACUCACACGCUCACACACACACACACACACUCACUCACAGACUCACACACACUCACACGCUCACACAUACACACACUCACUCACAGACUCACACAGACACACUCACACUCACAGACACACACAAACUCACUCAGACACACACACUCACUCACAGACACACUCACAUGCUCACACAAACACUCACUCAGACUCUCACACAGACACACUCACACGCUCACACACACACACACACACUCACUCACAGACUCACACACACUCACACGCUCACACAUACACACACUCACUCACAGACUCACACAGACACACUCACACUCACAGACACACACAAACUCACUCAGACACACACACUCACUCACAGACACACUCACAUGCUCACACAAACACUCACUCAGACUCUCACACAGACACACUCACACGCUCACACACACACACACACACUCACUCACAGACUCACACACACUCACACGCUCACACAUACACACACUCACUCACAGACUCACACAGACACACUCACACUCACAGACACACACAAACUCACUCAGACACACUCACACACAGACACACUCCCUCACAGACACACACAAACUCACUCAGACACACUCACACACAGACACACUCCCUCACAGACACACACAAACUCACUCAGACACACUCACACACAGACACACUCCCUCACAGACACACACAAACUCACUCAGACACACUCACACACAGACACACUCCCUCACAGACACACACAAACUCACUCAGACACACUCACACACAGACACACUCCCUCACAGACACACACAAACUCACUCAGACACACUCACACACAGACACACACAAACUCACUCAGACACACACACUCACUCACAGACACACUCACAUGCUCACACAUAAACACUCACUCAGACUCUCACACAGACACGCUCACACACACACACACACAGACACAGACUCACACACACUCACUCACAGACUCACACACAGACACACUCACUCACAGACACACACAAACUCACUCAGACACACUCACACACAGACACACACAAACUCACUCACUCACACACGCUCACACAUAUACACAGACACACACACACACACACAGACAGACACAUGCUCACACACUCAGACACACACACACACACUCCAGUCAUGA
rnacentral:lncRNA from 1 species